AUUCUUUUUCACGCGAAAUAUAACGCGCGUGUAAUAGAAAACGUGUUAACGUGAUCCACGUAUGCGUGCCGUUCCAUCAAUGGGGGAGUAAUGAUAUGCUCGUUCGCGAUAUAACACGCGACUGGAGUCGCUGCGCUUUUUACGAGCAAUAACUCGAUCCACAAGGCUCAUUUGUCGAGCAAACGACGCGAGCACGUCGACCUCUUUUACCUAUCUUAUGCAUCUCGCUCGCCUUUAAAAAUUUAUGCGUGUUUAUGGGAAUAUUUUAACUCUCAAUCGAUAUGGAUCGGUAUUAUCGUGGAAAUAUUCUGUCUCUGAAUAAGGAUGGGCGUCGUAUCCUCGGAUCCGAUAAAAUGAUAU